rnacentral:rRNA from 1 species
GGACUCGGGUCCGAUUAGUUAGUUGGUGAGGUAACGGCUGACCAAGACCGCGAUCGGUAGCCGGAGUGAGAGGUUGAACGGCCACAUUGGGACUGAGACACGGCCCAGACUCCUACGGGAGGCAGCAGUGGGGGAUAUUGCGCAAUGGGGGAAACCCUGACGCAGCAACGCCGCGUGAAGGAUGAAGGUCUUCGGAUUGUAAACUUCUUUUAUUAAGGACGAAGAAAGUGACGGUACUUAAUGAAUAAGCUCCGGCUAACUACGUGCCAGCAGCCGCGGUAAUACGUAGGGAGCAAGCGUUGUCCGGAUUUACUGGGUGUAAAGGGUGCGUAGGCGGCUUUGCAAGUCAGAUGUGAAAUCUAUGGGCUCAACCCAUAGCCUGCAUUUGAAACUGCAGAGCUUGAGUGAAGUAGAGGCAGGCGGAAUUCCCCGUGUAGCGGUGAAAUGCGUAGAGAUGGGGAGGAACACCAGUGGCGAAGGCGGCCUGCUGGGCUUUAACUGACGCUGAGGCACGAAAGCGUGGGUAGCAAACAGGAUUAGAUACCCUGGUAGUCCACGCUGUAAACGAUGAUUACUAGGUGUGGGGGGUCUGACCCCUUCCGUGCCGGAGUUAACACAAUAAGUAAUCCACCUGGGGA